ACGUAGGGCGCAAGCGUUGUCCGGAAUUAUUGGGCGUAAAGAGCUCGUAGGCGGACUGUCACGUCCGCUGUGAAAAGCUAGGGCUUAACCCUGGCCUUGCAGUGGAUACGGGCAGACUAGAGGUAGGUAGGGGAGAAUGGAAUUCCCGGUGUAGCGGUGAAAUGCGCAGAUAUCGGGAGGAACACCGGUGGCGAAGGCGGUUCUCUGGGCCUUACCUGACGCUGAGGAGCGAAAGCGUGGGGAGCGAACAGGAUUAGAUACCCUGGUAGUCCACGCUGUAAACGUUGGGCGCUAGGUGUGGGGUCCUUCCACGGAUUCCGUGCCGCAGCUAACGCAUUAAGCGCCCCGCCUGGGGAGUACGGCCGCAAGGCUA
rnacentral:rRNA from 1 species